CCUCCAAUCUCAAAUUCGACUCUGAAAACGUGAUGCUUAAAGCGCGAUCUACGUUUUCACCAUUUGAUUUGAAGUUUUGUGUAUUUUAGAGCUUCCUAAGUAAUCUCCAAGAGUUGGGUCUCAUUUGGUGAAGAUUUAAGAGAUACAUUGCAAGACGUUGGUUAAAAAUCCAUAGUUGAGCCUAAGACCAAGCAGCCAAAGUUCUGUAGAUGAAGAAAUGGAUUAUGCUAGCUUUAAGGAUUUAAAGUCAAUAUUUGUAUAUUUGGUUUUAAUUAUCGGUAUUCACGUGCUUUUGUAUGUAACAUGUUUAGAGAAAGGUUUGCAUUCAAUAGGUUUUCCACAAGGAUUGAGCUGGGGGGUGGCUAGUAGGGGCCAUGGCCCCCUCAAUUCAUUUGAAAAAAUAAAAAAAAUUAAUAAGUAUAG